GCCGCGGCAAGGAUGGAGCUGGGUUGCUGGACGCAGUUGGGGCUCACUUUUCUUCAGCUCCUUCUCAUCUCGUCCUUGCCAAGAGAGUACACAGUCAUUAAUGAAGCCUGCCCUGGAGCAGAGUGGAAUAUCAUGUGUCGGGAGUGCUGUGAAUAUGAUCAGAUUGAGUGUGUCUGCCCUGGAAAGAAAGAAGUCGUGGGUUAUACCAUCCCUUGCUGCAGGAAUGAGGAGAAUGAGUGUGACUCCUGCCUGAUCCACCCAGGUUGUACCAUCUUUGAAAACUGCAAGAGCUGCCGAAAUGGCUCAUGGGGUGGUACCUUGGAUGACUUCUAUGUGAAGGGGUUCUACUGUGCAGAGUGCCGAGCAGGCUGGUACGGAGGAGACUGCAUGCGAUGCGGCCAGGUUCUGCGAGCCCCAAAGGGUCAGAUUUUGUUGGAAAGCUAUCCCCUAAAUGCUCACUGCGAAUGGACCAUUCAUGCUAAACCUGGGUUUGUCAUCCAACUAAGAUUUGUCAUGCUGAGUCUGGAGUUUGACUACAUGUGCCAGUAUGACUAUGUUGAGGUUCGUGAUGGAGACAACCGCGAUGGCCAGAUCAUCAAGCGUGUCUGUGGCAACGAGCGGCCAGCUCCUAUCCAGAGCACGGGAUCCUCACUCCACGUCCUCUUCCAUUCCGAUGGCUCCAAGAAUUUUGAUGGCUUCCAUGCCAUUUUUGAGGAGAUCACAGCAUGCUCCUCAUCCCCUUGUUUCCAUGACGGCACGUGCAUCCUUGACAAGGCUGGAUCUUACAAGUGUGCCUGCUUGGCAGGCUAUACUGGGCAGCGCUGUGAAAAUCGAUUAAAAGAUAUGAAUGUACAGACACCGUGGUUGUCACACAGAAGUGUGAUCAACACCUUGGAAUGAGUUCUGGAGGCUGGGAAGUCCAAGAUCAAGGCGUCAGAAGAUUCGUUGUCUG
rnacentral:sRNA from 1 species